rnacentral:rRNA from 1 species
CAUGCAAGUAGAACGCUGAAGGAAGGAGCUUGCUCUUUCCGGAUGAGUUGCGAACGGGUGAGUAACGCGUAGGUAACCUGCCUGGUAGCGGGGGAUAACUAUUGGAAACGAUAGCUAAUACCGCAUAACAGUAGAUAUCGCAUGAUAUCUGCUUGAAAGGUGCAAUUGCAUCACUACCAGAUGGACCUGCGUUGUAUUAGCUAGUUGGUGAGGUAACGGCUCACCAAGGCGACGAUACAUAGCCGACCUGAGAGGGUGAUCGGCCACACUGGGACUGAGACACGGCCCAGACUCCUACGGGAGGCAGCAGUAGGGAAUCUUCGGCAAUGGACGGAAGUCUGACCGAGCAACGCCGCGUGAGUGAAGAAGGUUUUCGGAUCGUAAAGCUCUGUUGUAAGAGAAGAACGAGUGUGAGAGUGGAAAGUUCACACUGUGACGGUAUCUUACCAGAAAGGGACGGCUAACUACGUGCCAGCAGCCGCGGUAAUACGUAGGUCCCGAGCGUUAUCCGGAUUUAUUGGGCGUAAAGCGAGCGCAGGCGGUUAGAUAAGUCUGAAGUUAAAGGCUGUGGCUUAACCAUAGUACGCUUUGGAAACUGUUUAGCUUGAGUGCAAGAGGGGAGAGUGGAAUUCCAUGUGUAGCGGUGAAAUGCGUAGAUAUAUGGAGGAACACCGGUGGCGAAAGCGGCUCUCUGGCUUGUAACUGACGCU